UGAAAAACUGGUUAGAGCCCAGUCCAAAUGAAAAAUAAAAUUUGAAUAGGAUCGUCCUGACAGCUCAACCCUACCAGUUUGGAGUCCAGGCUGAAGCCAGCCUUGGGUCCGGCCCAUCGACAACCCUAGUUAUAUGCUCAGUGUUUUUAAAAUAAUGAUUCAAAUUCUAUUGAUUUCAAAAUGAGCAGCAAUUCAAACCUCAGGGUGGGAUUCGAUAACACCUAAAAAUACUAUUCAACGGUGUUAGGUGCAUUUUUAGUCUGAAAAUUUAUUUUACAACAUGUUUGGAUGAUGUCUUUUCUGAAAAUAUGUUUGUGGGAACGCUGUUUGGAGCAUUAAUUCAGUUUACAUCAGGGGAAUUCUAUGUUUUCCUUGCAUUUAGUUUUCAUCCUUCUUCAAUUGAAUGAUUCUUUAUUUUUAUGUUGCAGAGUCCUCUAGUGGUGGUUCGACCUCAAAUAAUUACAGAAGACGCACAGGAGAAGUUAUCGGUAUAGUUGUCGGAGGUGCAGGUGGACUACUGAUACUCGCAUCCAUUUCCUAUCUAUGGUGGAUGAAGGAUGCACCUGGCCAUAUGCGAGUGCACACAGACUCACCAAGAUUUGUAUUUUUAGCAUUAUUGUAAUUGAUUGUAAUUGAAUGAAUGAAUGAUUAUGCAGGUGGUAAUUGAAUGAAUGAAUGAUUAUAACUUUUUU